rnacentral:lncRNA from 1 species
GUUCUGGAGGCUGGAAGUCCAAGAUCAAGGUGCUAUCAGGGUUGGUUUCGGCUGUGGCCUCUCUUCCUGGCUUGUAGACAGCUAUCUUCUCGCAGUGUCCUCACGUGGCCUCUUUGUGUGAAGGUAAAAAUGAACAGAUCAACCUUUUACUCUUCUCUGAAAAAUAUAGUGAAAUUAAUAAUCAAGAACGAUUUUCUGAAAUGAAAACAUCCGAACAGCAUACUGCAAAGACAUUCAGGGGAAAAUAAAAUAGGUUUUGGCAAACGUCUAAUGACACAGAGCCACCAUUGCCAAUUUCACCACUGUCUUUCACCAAGUUGAUUCAUUUUGAACUGGCUCCAGCAAUCUACUCAGAGUUGACCUCAGAGCAAAAAAUUGAAGUGGGAAGCUGCUAAAGAAUGUGCUUGACUAAAACAAGGCAAUAAGCAAAAGGAAGUCAUAGCAUCCAGAAAAUGGGAUCCAUCAUGCGCACAAAGAAAAGGUGAAGAAAAUUUCCAGGAUGUUCAGAACCCACCAAAAACGAAAGAUUCUGGUCCAGAUCAGAAGAGAGGGAAACACUCUGAAAAAGUCCCUCAAAUACAAAAUUAAACAGAGUUUAAAUGAUGUGCUUGACCACAAUAAAAGGCUUCUUGCUCUGAACAGCUCCAUAUGUUGAUGUGAACUGUGACUCCAGGAGAACGGUGGAAAAGUGUCUUGAUCCAGGAAGGAAGGGGUAUAGAGAAAAUAUGAGUCUCACCACACUAGAAGCAACAUAUGCAAAAUCCAUCAAACACACCAUAAAAUCAAUGUGGGAGUAACAACACCUUGGCCUACUGCUCCCUGAAAAGUUUUUCUCUCGUCAAGUGAUGACAGGCGUACAUUUGUAAAUAAAUUACCAAGUUGCUUUUGAUUUGAUGGAGAAGGAAGAAAAGGAUUGUCUCCUGGAAGUAUUUUUAUUGUCUUAAUAGGUAGGAUAAUAUCUCUGUUCAGCAAACUGAGAUCUUUUGAGAAUCUUAACAAAUGUAUACCCCUCCCUCUCACCUUUUCCUCUCUGGUGUAUUUCAUAGGCAGCUUUGCUAACUGACUGCACUACUACAAAUAGAUUCUGUCACUUUAGAAAUAGGAUUUUUCCUUUUAUAGGCAGAUUGAUGGACUAAGUGUCAAGGUUUUAGAACAGUAGCAUGACUGGGGCAGACACUAUAAACCAUAAAUCCAGUAUUGACAAAUGUUCUAGCCAAUCCAGAUUUUCUAUUUGUUAAAUUGCCUUUAUGAAGUCAUACUUGUGCAGCACAGAAUAUGGAAAAUAAUUGACAAGUUCUGAGAAGCCAGUUACUGAGCUC